rnacentral:rRNA from 1 species
GAUGAACGCUGGCGGCGUGCUUAACACAUGCAAGUCGAACGGAAAGGCCCUGCUUUUGUGGGGUGCUCGAGUGGCGAACGGGUGAGUAACACGUGAGUAACCUGCCCUUGACUUUGGGAUAACUUCAGGAAACUGGGGCUAAUACCGGAUAGGAGCUCCUGCUGCAUGGUGGGGGUUGGAAAGUUUCGGCGGUUGGGGAUGGACUCGCGGCUUACCAGCUUGUUGGUGGGGUAGUGGCUUACCAAGGCUUUGACGGGUAGCCGGCCUGAGAGGGUGACCGGCCACAUUGGGACUGAGAUACGGCCCAGACUCCUACGGGAGGCAGCAGUGGGGAAUAUUGCACAAUGGGCGGAAGCCUGAUGCAGCAACGCCGCGUGCGGGAUGACGGCCUUCGGGUUGUAAACCGCUUUCGCCUGUGACGAAGCGUGAGUGACGGUAAUGGGUAAAGAAGCACCGGCUAACUACGUG